GCUUACGGCCAUACCACCCUGAACAGCCCGAUCUCGUCCGAUCUCGGAAGCUAAGCAGGGUCGGGCCUGGUUAGUACUUGGAUGGGAGACCGCCUGGGAAUACCAGGUGCUGUAAGCU
ensembl:rRNA 5S_rRNA 5S ribosomal RNA